AUGUUCAGCUAAUUGCUCAGCUGCAGUUUGAACCAGCAUGUCUGUGUCAGAGUUGUUCCCAUGCCUGGGCUGACAGUCGUUCACACCAAAAGUCAGGGGGGUUCAGGAGCGGGAGAGAGAGCGGGCCCGGACUGUAGAUGGAUGGAGGAAAUAAAAGAGGACGGGGAGGGGGAACCUGCUGAGGGGAGCCGAAAACUGCAGAGCUGUUCAAAUCAAACACCAGCUGAUGGUCAGCCUCAUCACACAUAUUGGUCCCAGGUCCUGGGGACACUGCCAUCCUGGAAAGCUUGGUAUGGUUUUGCUCCGGUGGGUGUAAUAUGGCUGAUUUGCCAGGUGGAGGCGCUGCCGCACCCCUUUCUGUUACUGGUAGAUCUGUGUUGGACUCUCCUGUUGGUCUGUCUUCUGUGGAUGGUUCUGGGAGGUUGUUUUCUUGCCCUGAAGUGGUGCCUGAGGCCAGGACAGAAUCAGUUCAAGGGGGAUCCUCCACAGAGGAUACAGCAGGAGGUUGUGACUGAAAACAGUAAUAUCCAGUAUUCAUGGGUGUCCCAGUCCCCGAGCCCAGGCCCCCACAUUCCUCUGGCCCUUGCACUGGCAAACAGUCUGCUGCUAUGUGUGCUCCAGGAGCCCCUACCAGACCCCAGUGUGCCUCACAUUCAUGCUCUCCUCUCCAGGCUGGAGUCAGUGUCUGACACACUUGGGAAGGUUAGCACUGGAUCAGAGGUGACACUGGAGGAAGUGGACCAAGAUCCCAUACUGAUAGACAAAGUGAAGCUCAUCUGCACCUACCUACAGCAGAGGACGAGGUCGCUGCGUGCCCUCGUCCAGCUGCAGGGGGAUUUUGAGGCCAGCGUGAAGGACAUGCUGGAGGGCCUAGAUGGCCUCUGGGCUCAGCUGGAGGAGCUACACACUGGAGUCACACUAACCAAAGAGGGGAGUAGAGGCCACGGAGACCUGGCCUUAGCACGGACAAAUGCAGAGAAUCUGUUCACAGUCCUGGGUCACUACAGGGGCAGACUUCAGUGCUGCCAGACUCAUCUGAAGGACAGCACACGACUACUGCAGGAGUUAACCUGGAGUCAUACUCAUAUAAGCAACAGUGUGGGCAGCAGCAGUGAGUCAGUGUGGCCAGAGCUGUUGCUUCAGUCCAACAUUGAACAGUUUGACAAGGUGCAGGAAAGUUUCCUCUCCCUGGAACAACAGACCUUUACAUUCCAGGCCCACCUGGAGGGACUUGGAAAAGGGAGUCAGAAAGGACAUGGAAGACCCCUCGCUCAUGUCAGUGGGGCCAGUUGCUCAGUCUCUCCACAGACCUCCACACAUCUCCACAAUGGAUGCACAAGUGAUGUGUCAAAGGAGAAUUGUAACUCUACCUCUGCAUCGUCUACCUCCUCAGUGGAUGCAGACACAGAAACAGACACUCCGCUCUCACUGUGUGAGAGGUCGGCUCUGCAGGUCUCCUCCACGAUUGGACGGCUGCGUAAAUCCGGAAGGAGGAAGUGAUUUUUAUCAAGAUGUACUUGGCCUACGCACCAGGUGUUUUGUAAACAGCAGGUUGCUUGUUUGGAAAGAUCCUGCAUCUGUCCGAUUCCCUCACACUGGGGCAGUGACUGGGAGAGGUGGGGUGGACCCCUGGGGGAUCUGGGAUGAAAGGAAUGUGAGCUGAAUGCUGCAAGAUCCGAGCUGUCACAACACCAAAGACACAAACAUACCAUGUCUGGAUGGAUAGGGGGAUGUAAAGACUGUGGGAGGAGAGAUGUUGUGUGUUUGCUUAUUUGAAGUCAGUGACAGGAGCUGUGAAUAAAAAAAAAAUCUGUUAUGACAUGCCACAUGAAUAUGUAACAUUUUCCAUGAACCAGUCAUGAAUACACAGAACAUAAUGGCCUUGGAUGCUUGCUUACAAUAACAAUGACCACAUUUGCUUUGAGGUCCAAGAGUCAAAAGACAACAAAAAGCUUUGAGCUGAUUUAUUAAGUGCUUUAAUAAAUUAUUAAAAAGAGGCAGGGUUUUUUUUUCUGUUAGAUGUGAAUGAAAAACAGUUCUUCAAAUACAAAACAAGCUCUGCUUUACAAGCUAAUGGAGAACAUCCCGGUCCUGUCCAGAUGAACUCAUGCCUGACAUUGUUGGCAUGUGAUGUCAUGGCCAGCAGGGACGGUGUCCGGGAGAGCAGAGGGCACCGGCUAUCUGCUCGCUGAGAAUGUAAGAGCGAGUGAGUGAAAUUACCACAGGCUUUGUUUAGUCACACUGAAAAGUUGAUGACCAGUCCUGGAGCAGAGGCUAUUUCAAAGCUAGCUCAAGUGUGUGUUGUUUCAGAAAAUAUGGUUUAUGGCAGAGGUCAAUCCCUCGCCUUAUCCUGACAAUUACUCAAGAUCGGGUUUCACUGGCAUACACACAGCACACAUUUGUGCUGAUCCCUCCUCUGAUGGCACUGCAAGACACCACACAGUAGUACAGACAGCUGAUAUCUGAUAUAAGCAAACUCACGAGCUUGUCACAAAAUGUAUGUGUAUGUGUUGGUUGGUGGGAGUCGUGUUAACCUUUUAACUUAAUGGCAUU